GGCGAGAUCGGCAAAAUCGGAGCGUCGCCCCUCUUCCAUGACCAUACCCCAUUCCCUCUUCCCCGACCACGGCGGGCCCCAGUUGCCCUGUCUCUAGAGGUGAAGCACCGCAGCUAAUGAGACGCAGUCCGGCGAGAUCCAGGCAGAGACAAGGAGAUGUGGGGUCAGUGAGGACAGAAUGAUACACUGCCUUGUGCUUCACCUCUCGUGAGCUCCUCAUUCAGAUUCAUUUCUUGAUUCAACAAAUCAGUGAACUCAGCCUCUAUUGGUACAUAGGGUGAUGGAGAUUUUUUUUUUCUUCUGAGAUUCUGUUUUGGUUGUUUGUUCAUUUCAGAUAUUUGUUCUUGCAUUUUUCUAUGACAAAUCUCGUUACUUUCCGUUCAUGAUUCAGAUGUUUCUUCCAAAUGUUCAUGUUUCUGAUCUUGUUUCAUUUAGUUCUUACAAUUAGUUCAUGGUCAGGGAAGACAGAGGAAAGAGAGAUUACAAUUACUUCAUCCAUCCAACAAAAGAUGUCUCAAGUUUGUCAAAAUUUAGAU
rnacentral:lncRNA from 1 species